rnacentral:rRNA from 1 species
UACGGAGGGUGCGAGCGUUGUCCGGAAUCAUUGGGCGUAAAGGGCGCGUAGGUGGCCCGGUCAGUCCGUGGUGAAAGCGCGGGGCUCAACCCUGCGUCGGCCAUGGAUACUGCCGCGGCUGGAGCACUGUAGAGGCAGGCGGAAUUCCGGGUGUAGGCGGUGAAAUGCGUAGAUAUCAGGAGGAACACCAAUGGCGAAGGCAGCACUCUGGGACGUGACUGACGCUGAGACGCGAAAGCGUGGGGAGCAAACAGG